rnacentral:rRNA from 1 species
GGUGCACGCCGCGUGAGGGAUGAAGGCCUCUGGGCUGUAAACCUCUUUUAUCAAGGAAGAAGAUCUGACGGUACUUGAUGAAUAAGCCACGGCUAAUUCCGUGCCAGCAGCCGCGGUAAUACGGGAGUGGCAAGCGUUAUCCGGAAUUAUUGGGCGUAAAGCGUCCGCAGGCGGUCUUUUAAGUCUGUCGUCAAAGCGUGGAGUUUAACUCCAUUUCUGCGAUGGAAACUGGAAGACUAGAGUGUGGUACGGGCAGAGGGAAUUCCCGGUGUAGCGGUGAAAUGCGUAGAUAUCGGGAAGAACACCAGUGGCGAAGGCGCUCUGCUGGGCCAUAACUGACGCUCAUGGACGAAAGCCAGGGGAGCGAAAGGGAUUAGAUACCCCUGUAGUCCUGGCCGUAAACGAUGAACACUAGGUGUCGGGGGAAUCGAACCCCUCGGUGUCGUAGCCAACGCGUUAAGUGUUCCGCCUGGGGAGUACGCACGCAAGUGUGAAACUCAAAGGAAUUGACGGGGGCCCGCACAAGCGGUGGAGUA